GUAAGCGCGCUUAGUAGCGUCUGCGAGUGUCCCAUCCGUUGCCAUCCUCAGCGAGACCGGAUCGCAGCGCGACGGAGGGGUGCGGGUGGUGCUAUGGGAGACUGGAGGAUAGUCUGGGGCCUUCAGCCGGGACUUAUCGGAACCGAUAGCCGGCCCCAGGAGCCUCCGGAGGCCCGUCGUUUUCUUUACAAAGUUUGACUCCGUGAUAACCAGCAAAUUGCAACUCUCAAUGACUCUAGUCUGGCCUCGAACCCACGGCAGCUCCCUUGCCUCAAUCUUUCCAGUGCCAGGAUUCCAGGCGGGACCACUAUGCCCGAUUUCCGUGGUUCUUAACUUGCAUUUGGGAAGUUGAGUCCUACGGGGAGUGAAGCGCCACAUUGCUGGGUUUGGGGACAAGCGGACGUCAGUCCUCCCCUCCGUACUUACCGGAACUGUGCUCCCAGUGUCUUUGGUCGGAAGGGUGUGUAGUAAUCCCGUCUGUUUUGUGAGUUGCGAAGAUGCCUGCCGUAGGGUCUUGAAGGUGCAAAGAAACUGCUGUUAGUAUUUCGGUAAUUACUUCUGGAUGCUAACAGCUUUGAAAGUGAGUGGGGAUAAAAUAAACCUGAGCACUUCCUAGGGUUGAAGUAGAUAGUGCAAAAGUCUGGCUUUGUCCUAAACAUAGUUCCAUGUGGAUAAUGUACUUUUGGCUGCUUUCUGGAUUGGGGGCCAGUUUAGACUAAAUAAGUAGAGCCUAACAUUUUUGCAGGGAUUUGAAUUCCCACCCAUCCUGGGCCCAGAACCCAGGGCCUUCACAUAUUAGCAAGUGCUCUAAGGCGCUGAGCCAGCAGCAUGUCUUGUGUGUCUUAGUUUUUAUCCUGAGCCUGGGUUUCAGUGAGUGGAGUCUGGGAGGAUGGUUCCAAGCCCAGACAAAAAUCUCACUUGUGUGUGGUAAAUGAAUUUGUCAAUGGGUGGAAAAUAAGUACCCUGAAAGAUAAAUAACAAUUGAAGGUAUAAAAAGUCAUCAAAGAUAGGGGACACUUGUUUGGGAAUUGGUUCCAUCCUAGUUCACCUUAUGCAGGGUGUUGACAUUCGCCACAACAAGGACCGAAAGGUUCGGCGCAAGGAGCCCAAGAGCCAGGAUAUCUACCUGCGGCUGCUAGUCAAGGUAAGCCUGGGCUAUUGCAUCCUUUUACAACUCCCACAGCAAGUGGGGUGGGGAGAGGAGGGACCCGGACAUGUGAGCAGUGCCCCUAACACAUCCAUCACCAGGAGUUCAGGCAGAUGGGAGAGAGCUGUGGAAGGGUCCUGGCUUUUAGGGAAGGAAGACUCUCACAUGUUCAAUCUUCCCUUUCCCUUCCAGCUGUACAGGUUUCUGGCCAGACGGACCAACUCCACCUUCAACCAGGUUGUGCUGAAAAGGUUAUUUAUGAGCCGAACUAACCGGCCACCUCUGUCCCUGUCCCGAAUGGUUAGUAGUUGGGCAGGGGUCAGUUCAUGUGUUCUGGGGUGUUGACACCAGCAGGGAAUACAGACCUCUGUGCUUUGGCCUCCCCAGGUGACAACCCCUCGGUGUCUUUUACCUGGGGAUUUCUCUGACUUGGUUUACUCCUGGGAUUGGAGAGAGAUUGAUUCCAUGGCUGCCAGGCCCUCAGGGGCCUGUCACUGGGGAGAAGGGAGGUUGGCCUCAGCCACUAGAAGUCUUGGCUGUUUUGGUCUUCUGGGUGACUGGUAUGGACACAGAGUGAUGUAACCAGCUUGCCCCUGACAGAUCCGGAAGAUGAAGCUUCCUGGUCGGGAGAACAAAACUGCUGUGGUUGUGGGGACGAUCACAGAUGAUGUGCGGAUUCUGGAAGUGCCCAAGCUGAAGGUAAGUGGCCAGCAUGGGCCCAGGGUACAUGUCUCUGGCCUUGCUGUGUGCGGGUGGCUCCCUUCAUGUGAGCUGUAGUCAGAGCUGCUCUGCUCUUUGUUUUGUGGAGUGGUGCUUUGGAAUCCUUUUAGACAGGAAGUAUUGAGGGUGCUUGCCAUCCACUGGAAAGAUUUUGGUGGCAGUUUAUCAGAGUCCGCUACCUGAGUGGUGUGACAAUCCCCCUAUUUCUGGUGUGUACCCUCAGGUGUGUGCACUGAGGGUGAGCAGCCGGGCCCGAAGUCGGAUCCUCAAGGCUGGGGGUAAGAUCCUGACCUUCGACCAGCUGGCCCUGGAGUCUCCCAAGGGCAGGGGCACUGUGCUCUUGUCUGGUCCUCGGAAGGGCCGAGAGGUGUACCGACACUUUGGCAAGGCCCCAGGAACUCCACACAGCCACACCAAGUGAGUAGUGGGGCCUUGUCCUUCGGUAGCUGUUAGCCCUGGUGGCCACCAGCGUGUUGUUUACUUGGUGGGGGGUGGUCACGACUGGGCUAACCAGGGCCUGUACCAUUUCCGAGGGGCGGGUGGUUACUGGGAAGACUCAGCUCAGAAGAGCUUCUCAGUGUUAGAGGAACAGGUCCCAGUGGCCACUGAGCUGAGCUCUCACCUUCCUCCUUUCCCCACAGACCCUAUGUCCGUUCCAAGGGCCGGAAGUUCGAGCGUGCCAGAGGCCGAAGGGCCAGCCGAGGCUACAAAAACUAACCCUGGCUCUUACUGUUAAUAAAAAAGCUUUGGAUGUUG
rnacentral:lncRNA from 1 species